rnacentral:rRNA from 1 species
AGUAAUCGUGGAUCAGCAUGCCACGGUGAAUACGUUCCCGGGCCUUGUACACACCGCCCGUCACACCAUGGGAGUCGGUAACACCCGAAGCCUGUAGUCUAACCGCAAGGAGGACGCAGUCGAAGGUGGGAUUGAUGACUGGGGUGAAGUCGUAACAAGGUACC